rnacentral:rRNA from 1 species
GAUGAACGCUGGCGGCGUGCCUAAUACAUGCAAGUCGAGCGAAUGGAUUAAGAGCUUGCUCUUAUGAAGUUAGCGGCGGACGGGUGAGUAACACGUGGGUAACCUGCCCAUAAGACUGGGAUAACUCCGGGAAACCGGGGCUAAUACCGGAUAACAUUUUGAACCGCAUGGUUCGAAAUUGAAAGGCGGCUUCGGCUGUCACUUAUGGAUGGACCCGCGUCGCAUUAGCUAGUUGGUGAGGUAACGGCUCACCAAGGCAACGAUGCGUAGCGGACCUGGAGGGGUGAUCGGCAACACUGGGACUGGGACACGGCCAAGACUCCUACGGGAGGCAGCAGUAGGGAAUCUUCCGCAAUGGACGAAAGUCUGACGGAGCAACGCCGCGUGAGUGAUGAAGGCUUUCGGGUCGUAAAACUCUGUUGUUAGGGAAGAACAAGUGCUAGUUGAAUAAGCUGGCACCUUGACGGUACCUAACCAGAAAGCCACGGCUAACUACGUGCCAGCAGCCGCCGUAA